rnacentral:tRNA from 1 species
AAGAGGAAGUAGAAACUAAAAGAAGCUGCUAACUAUCUUUUAAAGCGGUUAAACUCCGUUUUCCUCUUA